AGUGAACGCUGGCGGUAUGCCUAACACAUGCAAGUCGAACGGCAGCACAGUAAGAGCUUGCUCUUACGGGUGGCGAGUGGCGGACGGGUGAGGAGUACAUCGGAAUCUACUUUUUCGUGGGUGAUAACGUAGGGAAACUUACGCUAAUACCGCAUACGACCUACGGGUUAAAGCAGGGGAUCUUCGGACCUUUCGCGAUUGUAUGAGCCGAUGUCGGAUUAGCUAGUUGGCGUGGUAAAGGCCCACCAAGGCGACGAUCCGUAGCUGGUCUGAGAGGGUGAUCAGCCACACUGGAACUGAGACACGGUCCAGACUCCUACGGGAGGCAGCAGUGGGGAAUAUUGGACAAUGGGCGAAAGCCUGAUCCAGCAAUACCGCGUGGGUGAAGAAGGCCUUCGGGUUGUAAAGCCCUUUUGUUGGGAAAGAAAAGAAGCAGGUUAAUACCCCGCUGUUCUGACGGUACCCAAAGAAUAAGCCCCGGCUAACUUCGUG
rnacentral:rRNA from 1 species